GACGAACGCUGGCGGCGUGCUUAACACAUGCAAGUCGAACGGAAAGGCCCUGCUUUUGUGGGGUGCUCGAGUGGCGAACGGGUGAGUAACACGUGAGUAACCUGCCCUUGACUUUGGGAUAACUUCAGGAAACUGGGGCUAAUACCGGAUAGGAGCUCCUGCUGCAUGGUGGGGGUGGGAAAGUUUCGGCGGGUGGGGAUGGACGCGCGGCUUAUCAGCUUGUUGGUUGGGUAGUGGCUUACCAAGGCUGUGACGGGUAGCCGGCCUGAGAGGGUGACCGGCCACAUGGGGACUGAGAUACGGACCAGACUCCUACGGGAGGCAGCAGUGGGGAAUAUUGCACAAUGGGCGGAAGCCUGAUGCAGCAACGCCGCGUGCGGGAUGACGGCCUUCGGGUUGUAAACCGCUUUCGCCUGUGACGAAGCGUGAGUGACGGUAAUGGGUAAAGAAGCACCGGCUAACUACGUG
rnacentral:rRNA from 1 species